CAGCUUGAGCAAUUCCGAGGGCUUCUCGGGGACGACGGAGAGCACCACAUUGAAGAUAACUUCCGCCCAGUGCUCCCCCUCAAUGACCGCACGGUCGAGAAAAUCACCCUGGUGUAAUACGAGCCUUCACGACGAUCCCCGGUUGUUGAGUUAAGGAUACUCUGCUAAAUGAAAAAGGAAGUGCGUUAGAGAGAGAGAGAGAGAGAGAGAGAGAGAGAGAGAGAGAGAGAGAGAGAGAGAGAGAGAGAGAGAGAGAGAAAGAGAAAGAGAGAGUGUAUUAGCAUCAGAAAGCUGAGUUUUUCCUUUUUCUGUUGUAUACUUCUAAUUUGUAAUUUCACUGGCUCAUAUUUCUAAAGAAAAAAACUUGAAUCAAAGUGAUUUUUCUUGAUGGUGAUGGUUUCUGAUUCUUAAUCUUGAAUAAAUACUGUCUGCAUU
rnacentral:lncRNA from 1 species